rnacentral:rRNA from 1 species
AGCCAUGCGAGUCGAGAGCCUUAGGGGCUCGGCAUACUGCUCAGUAACACGUGGAAAACCUGCCCUAUUGUCUGGAAUAACCUCGGGAAACUGAGAACAAGGCCGGAUAGCCCACAAUGCCUGGAACGGUUUGUGGGUGAAGAUAGGAUGGGCCUGCGGCGUAUCAGGUUGUAGGGGGUGUAACGUACCCUCUAGCCCUCUACGCGUACGGGUGUUGGGAGACAUAGCCCGGAGAUGGAUUCUGAGACACGAAUCCAGACCCUACGGGGUGCAGCAGGCGCGAAAACUUGGCAAUGCGAGAAAUCGUGACCAGGGAACUCCAAGUGCAUCGGGUAAGACCGGUGCUUUUCUUGACUCUAAAUAGGUCUUGGAAUAAGGGGUGGGUAAGGACGGUGCCAGCCGCCGCGGUAAUACCGGCGCCUCAAGUGGUAGUCGCUUUUAUUGGGCCUAAAACGUCCGUAGCCGGUCUGAUACAUUCGUGGGUAAAUCAACCAGCUCAACUGGUUGAAUUCUGCGAGGACGGUCAGACUUGGGACCGGGAGAGGUGUGGGGUACGCUCAGGGUAGGGGUAAAAUCCUGUCAUCCUGAGCGGACCACCUGUUGCGAAGGCGCCACACUAGAACGGAUCCGACGGUCAGGGACGAAGCCUAGGGGCACGAACCGGAUUAGAUACCCGGGUAGUCCUAGGUGUAAACGCUGUGGACUUGAUGUUGGAGAAGCUCCGAGCUUCUUCAGUGUCGAAGCGAAUGUGAUAAGUCCACUGC